rnacentral:rRNA from 2 species
UAGGGAAUUUUCGGCAAUGGAGGAAACUCUGACCGAGCAACGCCGCGUGAGUGAAGACGGCCUUCGGGUUGUAAAGCUCUGUUGUAAGGGAAGAAAGACAGCGAGAGAAUCGCUGGUUGACGGUACCUUACCAGAAAGCCACGGCUAACUACGUGCCAGCAGCCGCGGUAAUACGUAGGUGGCGAGCGUUAUCCGGAAUUAUUGGGCGUAAAGGGUGCGUAGGCGGAGAGUUAAGUUUAUGGUGAAAGCGUGGGGCUCAACCCCAUACAGCCAUAGAUACUGGCUCACUAGAGUACUGGAGAGGGAAGUGGAAUUCCAUGUGUAGCGGUAAAAUGCGUAGAUAUAUGGAGGAACACCGGUGGCGAAGGCGGCUUCCUAGACAGAUACUGACGCUCAGGCACGAAAGCGUGGGGAGCAAAUAGG